GACUAUGGACCUCUGCAAAUCCUGAGUACUGCUUGGCUUCUGUUGAGGCAGUGACCAGGACAUGGGGAAAUAAUGGAAAGUUUCUCAAGGAGGAUACACCAAGUCCAGAUGAUCUGCUGUCAGUCUGUCAAGUCUGCUUGUGCGCUGUACUCCCUCCCCUCAUGGCUACAAAAAGAGGCUGCUUGUUAUAAGAAAGGCCGGGCACUCCUGUGGAUGUGAAGAGGAUCCUGUUGGGGAAGCCCUUUCUGCAGAUCCUGAUGCCUUCCAGCACACCAUUACAGCGCAGCUGGUGCAUCACCAGAGGGUUCUCCAUGGCCCCAGGAGUCUUGGUCUCAUUGGGGAUGAUGCAACGUACAA